rnacentral:rRNA from 1 species
AUUCCAGCUCCAAUAGCGUAUAUUAAAGUUGUUGCAGUUAAAAAGCUCGUAGUUGGAUUUCUGGCGGGAGCGACCGGUCGGCGCUUAACGGCGUGUGCACUGGAGUUGUCUCUUGCCAUCCUUGAGGAGAACGUGUCUGGCAUUAAGUUGUCGGGCUUGGGAUCCUCAUCGUUUACUGUGAAAAAAUUAGAGUGUUUAAAGCAGGCAUUUGCUGUGAAUACAUUAGCAUGGAAUAAUAAGAUAGGACUUUGGUGCUAUUUUGUUGGUUUGCGUACCAAGGUAAUGAUUAAUAGGGAUAGUUGGGGGUAUUCGUAUUCAAUUGUCAGAGGUGAAAUUCUUGGAUUUAUGGAAGACGAACAACUGCGAAAGCAUUUACCAAGGAUGUUUUCAUCG